rnacentral:rRNA from 1 species
UACGGAGGGGGCUAGCGUUGUUCGGAAUCAUUGGGCGUAAAGGGCGCGUAGGCGGCCGAUCAAGUCGGAGGUGAAAUCCCUCGGCUCAACUGAGGAAUUGCCUUCGAUACUGUUCGGCUUGAGUCCUGGAGAGGGUAGCGGAAUUCCCGGUGUAGCGGUGAAAUGCGUAGAGACCGGGAAGAACACCAGUGGCGAAGGCGGCUACCUGGACAAUUGCUGACGCUCAGGCACGAAAGCGUGGGGAGCAAACAGG